GCCUAAGAACAUCAGCUGUUCAAAAAUAUUUCCUGGCCAGGUAUGGUGGCUCAUGCCUGUAAUCCCAGCAGUUUAGGAGGCUGAGGCAGGAGGAUUGCUUGAUGCCAGGAGGCUGAGGCUGCAGUGAGCUAUGAUUGCACCACAGCAUUCCACCCUGGGUGACAGAGUGACACACUGACUAAAAAAAAAGAUAGUAUUUUCUAUAUUUCUUUGAGAUAUAGAUAUAGAUAUAGAGAAGAGAUACAUGGAGACAUACAUGCAUAAUAGAAAAUUUUGCAGAAAAUAUCUAGAAGGGUACACACCAAAAAAAUACCUACCUUGGGGAAAUGAUUGAGGCACAGAGGCAGAGGGAUGAGAACAUGUACUUUUUGCUUCAUAUAUUUCUAUAAUUUUUUUCAAACCAAGAAAGUAUUACUUUUACAAAUAAAAAAUAUUAUAAAAGACAUCAACUCUCUUUUCUAGGGGCUGUUAUAUUUUUAAAUAUGACCAUUUAUUGAUUACAUGUUUGCAUUGACAACUUUGUCAUGUUUACUGUAUUUUUCUUUCCAUGUUCAUUUAUUUUCAACUUACCAGAGCCUAUGACUACCUCACCAGAUGUUGGCUCAGUUUCACAGCCCAUCCAUACUUACAACUAUUGCGACUUGGGAGAUCAUGAGCAUACCCUUUGUUUCUCAUUAUCUACCUUCUUUAAACAUCUAAGUUUAUUUUACUCCUUGUGAGAUUUAUUCAUUUAACUUAAGCUAUAUUUGUAUGUUCAAGAAAAAGAAGGCUAUGUCACCACAAAGCCAGGCCUGCCUUGAAUGUGUCCAACAGUGUUCAAUUUUAUUCACAAAGCCUUAUAUUCUAGUAAAUAUAAAGCAAACUCUCCAUCCUUUUAGUGAAAGAGAUUAAAGAGAACUUGAUUACUUGCUCCCUGCAAAGGAAAAAAAUCUCAGUUACUAUAAACACGUAUAACUAUGUUCCAGUCCCAAACUCUCCCGUAUAAUUUCUUGGAAUAUCUCACAUGAGAAUAGAUACAAUAAUUUUUAAAUGUGUAAAAUAUGCAAAGAAUUUAAAUAACCAACUGAAAGUCCACACAGCACCAGAGAAGGGUGCUAAAAAAUAUUAAGAGCUAACACUUUUUGAGCACAUCAUUUGAGCAGGCUCUGUUCUGAGUACUUUAUUUCUCAUUUCAUCCUCAUAACAUCCCAUGAGGUGGCAAGCACUAUUAGUAUUCCUUAGAAAGAAAAGAAGUAAAGAGAAAAAAUAUUUAUUCUUAAUUUAAGUAAAUGUCCCUUUGCCUUCCUAAAAGUCUUGCCCAAAAAAAAAGUUGUUAUAUCUCUUUGUAAAUAAUCAAUGAAGUUUUUUCAUCAAUAAUUAGGAAUAUGGUAAAAAAAAAAAACAGGGCAUUCUUUGCUUUUUUCAAUAACAAUAAAAAGAAGGGGUAGAUUUUUGGAGCAGUUACUAUGUGUCAGGUAUUUUCCUUGGAUUAUCUUAUUUAAUGCACAUAAUAACUCAAUAGAAAAGAUACUAUAAUUAUUCCCAUUUAAGGGAGAUGGGAAAAUGAGGUUUAGAAAGUUUAAGUAACUUUUCCAAUGUCCCAUAACUGUAAGUGGUGGAAUCAGGACUUAAAAGCAGAGCAGUAUUAAGCACCCAAAACAGACCCCUCCUAGCACAUACAAAUAGCUUUUUGUUUUUGGUUUUUUGUUUUUUUGAGGACUAAUCUCAUUCAAGGCAUGAGGCUAAGUGAAUUGAUGCCACUGACUUCCUCUGCCUCUCCAUAACAAUAGCUUCCAUUUUCCUAGAUGCAUGAAAAGCUAAGUGACUUAGAAGAGGCACUCUGAGAUGGCUGACCAAGGAAGAAUGCAAAGCAGGUAAUUAGAUCUUGCCCUCCCCACCUGCAGAAUCCCAGCCGCAUUGAAUAUUUACCUUCCACCCAACCCCCAAACCACAGAUCUUCUCUUCAAAAAAAAAAACAACAAAAAAAAAAACAAAAAAAAGGAGCAGUUGCUUCUAUACAAAUAAUCACUUGCGCAUUUGGGGCAUUUCUUUUCUACCAUGAAUUUUUGUCAUUUGUCCUCCUGGACAUACCUUCCAUACCCAGUGCAAAUAUCUGUCCCAAGUGAUAUGUUUUGUUUUUUUAUUCAGCUGUCUGCUUCAAUUCAGACUCUUCUAGGAGAAAUAGGCAAAGGUAAAUCUUACCUGAGCAAGUAGUUAAGUUUGGAAGGAUAGUUGGUAAGGUCUAAUAAAAACGGUUAAGGACAUGAUGAUGGUGCCUAUUAAUAAAAUCUAUUUUGUAUACUAUAGACUUAUUGUGUUAUGUCUAAUUAAAUAAAGCUAUUGUAAAGAUACUUGGGUUAAUGUUAUAUGUGCUAGCUAUAUAAAAUGUACUUUAUAUGAUUAUUCUUAAAUUCAAAUUUAGAUAAUAGUCAUCCAUUUAAUAAAUAUAUCCAGUUAUGCUGAAUUUAUACUUGAUCAUUGACAAAUUAAUGUGGACUAUUUUGUUAUUCACAGAACUAGGAAAUUAUUUUCCUUUUCCUGUACGCACAUAGCACUUAUGCAACAUCUGAUAGCAUAAUCACAUAUUUAUUCAAAUAUUUCUCCCUCAAAUCAGGGAUUAGGUCACAUUGAUUUUGUAUUCUCCGUGCCUAACACAGUCCCUGUGCAUAUUCACCUCUAAACACAAUAAUGAUGUCCAAGUUAUUUUUGUUAUUUCCAUUUCUGCUGCUAUUUGUUCCUCCUUUGCUUUUUAUUUUUCCAGAAUCACAUGCCUCUUGACUAUUCAUUGCAAAUGUCUUUAC
rnacentral:lncRNA from 10 species